rnacentral:rRNA from 1 species
AUUGAACGCUGGCGGCAGGCCUAACACAUGCAAGUCGAACGAGUGGCGGACGGGUGAGUAAUGUCUGGGAAACUGCCUGAUGGAGGGGGAUAACUACUGGAAACGGUAGCUAAUACCGCAUACCAUCGGAUGUUCCCAGAUGGGAGUAGCUAGUAGGUGGGGUAAAGGCUCACCUAGGCGACGAUCCCUAGCUGGUCUGCGAGGAUGACCAGCCACAUUGGAACGGAGACACGGUCCAGACUCCUACGGGAGGCAGCAGUGGGGAAUAUUGCACAAUGGGCGAAAGCCUGAUGCAGCCAUGCCGCGGGUAUGAAGAAGGCCUUCGGGUUGUAAAGUACGUUCAUCGGGGAAGCGUUACCCGCAGAAGAAGCACCGGCUAACUCCGUGCCAGCAGCAGCGGUAAUAC